rnacentral:lncRNA from 1 species
CAGAGGCCUAGGCUGGAUUAUGUUUCCUCUCCGUUGACUGCAGAGGCCUAGGCUGGAUUACAGAAGAUUCAGUUUGCGAAGGAUAUGGGCUUCAGAUCGAUAGAGGUUAAGGGUGACUCAAGGCAUGGUCAUUUCGAAAUUCUAGUUUGCCAGCGUUGAUCGAUUGGAAGUUAGUCCUUAUGCUUGGGAAUUAAACCAAAUUUCUUUGGCUUUUAAGAAGUGCAUUUUUCAGCAUAUCAAACGUGAAGGUAAUUGGUUUGCUCACCUAUUGGCAAGAGAAGGUUUUCUCUGUCGAUGUGCUACUUGGUGGGUCAAGGAUGGUUCAUCGACGAUUUUGGACAUCGUGGAAAGUAAAAAGGGGUGGUUGAGGUGUUCACCUUUUGGCUUUUGGCUCGAUAUAGAGUUUUCGGGGCGUGGGUGAC